GCGGGUGCUAACGUCCGUCGUGAAGAGGGAAACAACCCAGACCGCCAGCUAAGGUCCCAAAGUCAUGGUUAAGUGGGAAACGAUGUGGGAAGGCCCAGACAGCCAGGAUGUUGGCUUAGAAGCAGCCAUCAUUUAAAGAAAGCGUAAUAGCUCACUGGUCGAGUCGGCCUGCGCGGAAGAUGUAACGGGGCUAAACCAUGCACCGAAGCUGCGGCAGCGACACUGUGUGUUGUUGGGUAGGGGAGCGUUCUGUAAGCCUGUGAAGGUGUGUCGUGAGGCAUGCUGGAGGUAUCAGAAGUGCGAAUGCUGACAUAAGUAACGAUAAAGCGGGUGAAAAGCCCGCUCGCCGGAAGACCAAGGGUUCCUGUCCAACGUUAAUCGGGGCAGGGUGAGUCGACCCCUAAGGCGAGGCCGAAAGGCGUAGUCGAUGGGAAACGGGUUAAUAUUCCCGUACUUGGUGUUACUGCGAAGGGGGGACGGAGAAGGCUAUGUUGGCCGGGCGACGGUUGUCCCGGUUUAAGCGUGUAGGUGUGUGUUCCAGGUAAAUCCGGUUCACUUUAACACUGAGGCGUGACGACGAGGCACUACGGUGCUGAAGCAACAAAUGCCCUGCUUCCAGGAAAAGCCUCUAAGCAUCAGGUAACAUCAAAUCGUACCCCAAACCGACACAGGUGGUCAGGUAGAGAAUACCAAGGCGCUUGAGAGAACUCGGGUGAAGGAACUAGGCAAAAUGGUGCCGUAACUUCGGGAGAAGGCACGCUGACACGUAGGUGAAGUGAUUUACUCAUGGAGCUGAAGUCAGUCGAAGAUACCAGCUGGCUGCAACUGUUUAUUAAAAACACAGCACUGUGCAAACACGAAAGUGGACGUAUACGGUGUGACGCCUGCCCGGUGCCGGAAGGUUAAUUGAUGGGGUCAGCGCAAGCGAAGCUCCUGAUCGAAGCCCCGGUAAACGGCGGCCGUAACUAUAACGGUCCUAAGGUAGCGAAAUUCCUUGUCGGGUAAGUUCCGACCUGCACGAAUGGCGUAAUGAUGGCCAGGCUGUCUCCACCCGAGACUCAGUGAAAUUGAACUCGCUGUGAAGAUGCAGUGUACCCGCGGCAAGACGGAAAGACCCCGUGAACCUUUACUAUAGCUUGACACUGAACAUUGAGCCUUGAUGUGUAG
rnacentral:rRNA from 1 species